rnacentral:tRNA from 1 species
GUCCAGAUAGCUCAGUAGGUAGAGCAGGGGAUUGAAAAUCCCCGUGUCGGGGGUUCGAUUCCCUCUCUGGGCACCA